rnacentral:lncRNA from 9 species
AGCUUUCCGCCUGGCGGGCCCCUUUUCCGAGCCUCACAGGACGCUGCCCCAGAGCCUGUGUAAUCAGUUAAAGCAGAAGCCCCAGAGCCCCAUGGCUUCCUAACUUCCAGUCCCCUUCCGACCUGGGGAAGCAGGUUCACCCAACCAGAGUCACCUCCACAAGGUAGUGGCUUGUGCUUUGUUUUGCUGAAAAAAUUCAAAUCCCGUUAAUGUUUUGGUUCUUUUUAAAGAACUUUGGACAAUAAUAUACGUUACAAGAGCUUUAUGUGGAGGAGGCACUAGAGAGGUGAGGUACCCUUCAUUGUAGGACAAGCCUUGGCUUUGAAGUGUGAAGAACAGGGGUUCGAAUCUCAGCUUUGCCCCUUGCUGUCCGUGUGACCUUAUUCUCUCGGAACUCCGAGUAACAGGCGAGGAUGACUCCUGGCUUGAGGGUCAGCAACGAAGAAAGAAAAUGGAGACAUUGGCGUACGGGAUCGGGAUCAUAUGGAGUAGCGCAAUGAGGGAAACCAUUCCGCCACCCCCCCCCCCCAGAAGCUCGCUGGGUUUUGGAAAUGCUAAUGACAUGUGACACGUGACUCUCUGAAGAUGCUGUUAUUACACCUACGUUACAGAUAAGAG